rfam:Ricinus communis cultivar Hale ctg_1100012362444, whole genome shotgun sequence.
GUAUGCAUGGUAUGAGUAUUGUAGUAAAAGUGACUUGAAGUGAUCCUCUGCUUCAUGAAAGGAUUCAGUAUUCUUUUGAUAAAAGUUAGAAAUUUCAGCCCUUAAUUC